rnacentral:rRNA from 1 species
UUGAACGCUGGCGGCAUGCCUUACACAUGCAAGUCGAACGGCAGCACGGGUGCUUGCACCUGGUGGCGAGUGGCGAACGGGUGAGUAAUACAUCGGAACAUGUCCUGUAGUGGGGGAUAGCCCGGCGAAAGCCGGAUUAAUACCGCAUACGAUCUACGGAUGAAAGCGGGGGACCUUCGGGCCUCGCGCUAUAGGGUUGGCCGAUGGCUGAUUAGCUAGUUGGUGGGGUAAAGGCCUACCAAGGCGACGAUCAGUAGCUGGUCUGAGAGGACGACCAGCCACACUGGGACUGAGACACGGCCCAGACUCCUACGGGAGGCAGCAGUGGGGAAUUUUGGACAAUGGGCGAAAGCCUGAUCCAGCAAUGCCGCGUGUGUGAAGAAGGCCUUCGGGUUGUAAAGCACUUUUGUCCGGAAAGAAAUCCUUGGCUCUAAUACAGUCGGGGGAUGACGGUACCGGAAGAAUAAGCACCGGCUAACUACGUGCCAGCAGCCGCGGUAAUACGUAGGGUGCGAGCGUUAAUCGGAAUUACUGGGCGUAAAGCGUGCGCAGGCGGUUUGCUAAGACCGAUGUGAAAUCCCCGGGCUCAACCUGGGAACUGCAUUGGUGACUGGCAGGCUAGAGUAUGGCAGAGGGGGGUAGAAUUCCACGUGUAGCAGUGAAAUGCGUAGAGAUGUGGAGGAAUACCGAUGGCGAAGGCAGCCCCCUGGGCCAAUACUGACGCUCAUGCACGAAAGCGUGGGGAGCAAACAGGAUUAGAUACCCUGGUAGUCCACGCCCUAAACGAUGUCAACUAGUUGUUGGGGAUUCAUUUCCUUAGUAACGUAGCUAACGCGUGAAGUUGACCGCCUGGGGAGUACGGUCGCAAGAUUAAAACUCAAAGGAAUUGACGGGGACCCGCACAAGCGGUGGAUGAUGUGGAUUAAUUCGAUGCAACGCGAAAAACCUUACCUACCCUUGACAUGGUCGGAAUCCCGCUGAGAGGUGGGAGUGCUCGAAAGAGAACCGGCGCACAGGUGCUGCAUGGCUGUCGUCAGCUCGUGUCGUGAGAUGUUGGGUCAACUCCCGCAACGAGCGCAACCCUUGUCCUUAGUUGCUACGCAAGAGCACUCUAAGGAGACUGCCGGUGACAAACCGGAGGAAGGUGGGGAUGACGUCAAGUCCUCAUGGCCCUUAUGGGUAGGGCUUCACACGUCAUACAAUGGUCGGAACAGAGGGUUGCCAACCCGCGAGGGGGAGCUAAUCCCAGAAAACCGAUCGUAGUCCGGAUUGCACUCUGCAACUCGAGUGCAUGAAGCUGGAAUCGCUAGUAAUCGCGGAUCAGCAUGUCGCGGUGAAUACGUUCCCGGGUCUUGUACACACCGCC